rnacentral:rRNA from 1 species
CCUACGGGAGGCAGCAGUGAGGAAUAUUGGUCAAUGGCCGGAAGGCUGAACCAGCCAUGCCGCGUGAAGGUCAGUGCCCUAUGGGCGUUAAACUUCUUUUGUGCGGGAGCAAUAAUGGUCACGUGUGGCCAGACGAGAGUACCGUACGAAUAAGCAUCGGCUAACUCCGUGCCAGCAGCCGCGGUAAUACGUAUGGUGCAAGCGUUAUCCGGAUUUACUGGGUGUAAAGGGAGCGCAGGCGGCGCGGUAAGCCUGGUGUGAAAGCCCGCGGCCCAACCGCGGGACUGGAUUGGGAACUGGCGCGCUGGAGUGCCGGAGGGGUAGGCGGAAUUCCGAGUGGAGCGGUGAAAAGCGGAGAUAUUAGGAGGAACACCAGGGGCGAAGUCGGCCUACUGGAAGGUGACUGACGCUGAGGCUCGAAAGCGUGGGGAGCAAACAGGAUUAGAUACCCCAGUAGUC